rnacentral:lncRNA from 1 species
AGCAUAUGAGAAACCCUCAAAAAUGUAGAUGUCCUUCUUACCCAACUUCUUCCUAGCCUUCUCAAUGGAACUUAGAAGGAAGUCAUACGAGUGAAGACCCCAAUGGAACUUCUGGAGCUUGUCAAGAUCUAUCACCAACUUGAUGUACAUAUCAGGGAUGUUCACCUUCUCAUCUCUCCCCAUCACCACACCCAUUAUCACACACAGGUAGAUCAACCUCAUCCUAUCAAUCCGAGUCCACUUGUGAACUUCUUUUAGAUGCACCUUUCGGAUCGACUUCAAGGUGAUCUUAUCACCAGUCCUUAGUAGGUUACUCCAAAACCCCCC